GGCCAGGCUCCGUACAAUGGCAAUCUUGACGAAUCCGCUAGGCCCGAAAGGGAGCAACGGCACUCGAGGUUUCAUGUGAUACGAUCGGCCUGGCCACU
rnacentral:SRP_RNA from 1 species